GAUGAAGAACGCAGCGAAAUGCGAUAAGUAAUGUGAAUUGCAGAAUUCAGUGAAUCAUCGAAUCUUUGAACGCACAUUGCGCCCGCCAGUAUUCUGGCGGGCAUGCCUGUUCGAGCGUCAUUUCAACCAUCAAGCCCCCGGGCUUGUGUUGGGGACCUGUGGCUGCCGCAGGCCCUGAAAAGCAGUGGCGGGCUCGCUGUCACACCGAGCGUAGUAGCAUACAUCUCGCUCUGGGCGUGCUGCGGGUUCCGGCCGUUAAACUACCCUUUUAACCCAAGGUUGACCUCGGAUCAGGUAGGAAGACCCGCUGAACUUAAGCAUAUCAAAUAAGCGGAGGA
rnacentral:misc_RNA from 1 species